CUUGUUUGUCUACAUAGCGUCGUGGCGUGUGUGGGUGUUCGAAGACACUUUGACGAUAUCGUCAAAAAGGCUGCACCAUGGAAUCAUCCUGCAUCUGCCAUUAUGCUGUGUGGCAGUGCUACAGUGUCUGUGCUGCACUUGAAAAACCAGUGUAGUGGGAUGGGCAUUGUGGACACUUGUUUUCGUUGGCAGCCAACAUCUCUCACUUGAAGGUCUAAAGGAGCAUCUAUAGAAAUUGACAGGGCAUAAGCAUGGAAAGAACAUUAGAAAGAAACACGGGCAAGUGCUUCCGGAAUUGGCCGCGCAGCGAAAUGCGUUAGGUGAGUGAAUAAAGCAUGGAAGAAAUGAGGUGAAAUUGAUUUCGGGAACGCUUUAGAGUGUCUAUUUAGAAAAUGUGAAUUUACCUUGAAUGUGUGUGAGGUAGAAAUAUUUUUAACAUUGGAAAGAAACAUCGGCAGGUGGUUCGGAGAUGUGACACACAUGUGAGUCGUGAAAUAAUUGAGCGAAUGACAUGCAAUUUGUUUCUGGAGUGCUUGAGAAUACCUACUUAUAGGAUAUGCACUUACCUUGGCGUGAGUGGGGUAGAAAUGUUUUUAACAUCACAAAGAAAUUUCUCAGACUGCUUAAGACAGGAGCAGUAUUUCCAAAAUGUGUUCAUUAUGUGAAUAAAAAACUGAGUGAAUGAGAUUAAAUUGAUUUCUGGAUUGCUUCAGUGAUGAUGACAGGAACAUAUGAAGGCCUAUAAUUUGCAGUGUUGAGUCUAGAUGUGUCACCCGUGUGCUGGUUUCACUAUUACGAAUAAUCUUGAUGUAUUGUUUGUCCCCAAAGCUGAUAGUUUUACACCGUUUUCGUUGAUGGGGGGAGGGGGAACAGGCACCUUGGACAUCAUUGCUGUUGUGUGACCUCUCUCUUUUAUAGACUUAGGCUGCACAGCCGGAAUCCUGUGGAUCAAACAGAUGUAAUGUUCAGAAUCUGGCUGUCCACUGGCUGAAAUUUCGCACACUGCUAAAGACAGGAGCAGUAUUUCCAAAAUGUGUCCAUUAUGUGAAUAAAAAACUGAGUGAAUGAGAUGAAAUUGA